rnacentral:lncRNA from 1 species
GGACUAUCCAGAGAUCAAAAUCAGGAGGCCUGAGACUAGUCUUUGCUCCCUACUUCAAUUAACACUGGAGGAGCCCUAUCAUUUUCCAAACUGUUUUUGGAGAGACACAGAGAGAGGUGCAGAGACAUAGGCAGAGGGAGAAGCAGGCUCCCUGGGGAAAGCCCAGUGCGGGACUAGAUCCCAGGGCCCCAGGAUGACACCCUGAGCUGAAGGCAGAUUCUCAACCACUGGGCCACCCAUUUGUUCUUCAAAACUAGACUGCAUGAGCUGGGUAGAACAAUAAUAGAAUCUCCAUUUUAUUCGCAGGCAAACAAAAUGUCAGAGAUGCCAAGUAACCUGCUCAGUGUCACAUAACUGAUUAUCAGUGAGUGUGGAAGGGGAAUAAAAUGAAAUUUUUAGUCUAGUAGAUUGGGUUAUAAGCUAUUUGAUUUCUAUGAGGCUCUACUAUUUGUUAUCACUUCAAUAUAAUAUUGUAGAUCCACCUCUGACAGUACUGGUAUAUUGACUGGUGCUCAAUUCAUGGCCAUUUCCUUCUUUCUCCCUUUCUUAUUUUUCCAGGUUCAAAUUUGGCACUCUUUACACUACCAGUGUUGCCUGUCUCUGACUAAAGUAAUAUUGGCUACUCACAGUUCUCCUCUCUAGAAGUCCGUUUCUUCAUCCACGUUAUCAAAGAGUUGAACUAAAUCAUUUCUAUGCCCUCUUCCAGCUCUGAUACUUCCUGGCCUUAGGAAAACUGCAUUCCUGCUCCCUGGCUAGUCAACAGAUGGACACUUCCAAGCCCAUGCCUGUUGUACCUCCCAACACCAUCAGGGGGCGCCCAGCACCGUUUAUGCUUGAGGUGGGGCAAAGACUGCAGUUGCGAAGCUCUCUGCCUUGGACUCCACGGAGCUUUAGGACUGACUGGACAACUUUCCUCAGCGAUGUUGGAAAAAUAUCCAGAGAUGGCGAGAGGAGGCCCUCUUACUUAUUUCCAGGCCAAAGCAAGACUUCCUUCUCCACUAAGCAUUCAAAAGUUGAGUCCUUGAUAAGAAACCUCCCAUACCUCAGACCCAAGAGAUCUCACACUGCUCUGGACUGAAAAAGAGAAGGUCAUCUUUGGUAUGCAAACAUCCUAAGAAAUGAAACCUAGGAUCCUGGAGAAAAGGGAGCAGCAGAGGCCAGGUCCAAUUCACAGGGUCCGGCCAUAUGUGGAAAUCCACUGAGUUUACCCUCAGGGUAGAUCGAAGUUUUAUAACUCUGGAGCUCCUGAAUCUAGCAAGUUUAUUGUACCCUGCUGUCACAGAGCACAUUAAACAUUUGAUGAUUUAGUAGCCAUCCUGUAAAUCAGCCUGGAUGAUGGUCUCUGCUUAUGGUUUUUAAAUAAUAACUCACAAAAUGAUUCAGUGACUUCCAUAGAAAUUUUCUUUCCAAAGGAAAUGGCCUGAUAAGGUCCUUAAGAAUUGGAAUAAGGGGGGGAUCCCUGGGUGGCUCAGUGGUUUAGUGCCUGCCUUCCACCCAGGGCAUGAUCCUGGAGUCCCAGGAUCGAGUCCCAGGAUCAAAUCCCA